rnacentral:tRNA from 1 species
AAAUUUUAGUUAAAUACAAUAACAUUAGUUUGUCAAACUAAAAUCAUCUAAUAAAUAAAUUUUU